UACCAGCACCCCGAGUGGUCGGGACGAUUAUUGGGCCUAAAGCAUCCGUAGCCGGUUCUGCAAGUCUUCCGUUAAAUCCAGCCGCUCAACGGCUGGGCUGCGGAGGAUACUACAGGACUAGGAGGCGGGAGAGGCAAGCGGUACUCAGUGGGUAGGGGUAAAAUCCUCUGAUCCAUUGAAGACCACCAGUGGCGAAGGCGGCUUGCCAGAACGCGCUCGACGGUGAGGGAUGAAAGCUGGGGGAGCAAACCGG
rnacentral:rRNA from 1 species